AUAUAUAUAUCGUUUCGUCCGGUAACGGGCGGUUCGUGUAUUGGUUAGUUGAUGGACCGGUAUGUACUACUCGUACCGGACAGUAUUAUUCGAAAUUGCAUACCUUGAUCUUGAUUAUGUUAUAAACUAUUUUAAUAUGGUUAAACAGAUCUUACUGGUCCGUAUCGGUAUACUGACAGUUGUUGGUAUUGUACGUAUCGAGCUGUAUUGAAUGUAUCGAAACAUGGUACAUUGGGACAUAUUGAUAUACUACUCAUAUCGGUCCCUUGUUGGACUGGUACGUACCGCUCAUACCGGUAUGCUAUGGUACAACGAACCUUGAGUGUAAGAGUUAUAAAUAAGUUCAAUAUCUCCUAUUGACAUCCACACAGUUAUAGUUGCCUUAUUUUUUGUUUUGUGUUUUUUGUAUGUUCUGUAAAUUAAUAAUUUGUUUGUUUAAUGUUUUUUGUUUGGCAUUUAUAUUGUCACAAAAGCUGCUUCCUCUCAAGUAUUUUCAAGAAAAAAGAAACCAUGCCCAUUGGUGAACAUUUUGUUGGCAGCAUUCUAAUUAAUGCAUGUCAAGGUACAUCAUCAUGAUAAUUAUAAGCUUCUCUGAGAGCAGCUGUAGGAAAAACUUGGAUUUUGUUCUUUACUGGCAGGGCUUAUGAAUGAUACUGGUGUUUUGAGUUUGAGACUUAAAUAAGCCCAUUAACUUACUCUAGGGGCUGUUCUGGUUAUGUAAGCCACACAUUAAUAUGAGCAAAUACAUCAGAAUUUCUAAUUGGAUACUGGUGAACCUACAUGGUACAUGGAUACAGAAUGGGGUAUUCAUAAUUUCAUAUUAUUGUCUAUCUUAUAGCUUGAGCUAAUCAGCCGUAAGUGUUAUUUUUUUGGUAAUGUUGAAAAGAAGUUUCAGGAGUCCCCACAAAAUUAAAUGUUUCAGUGGCAUCAAUGUUAUACAAACUCCCUAUACAAAAUUCUUGUAAAAACUUCAGUGGUGAAGAACCUCAUCGGUUGUUUACAUAGAUUUAUUCAAGGUUGUGGAAGGCAUUAACAAUUUUUUUGUAGUUGAAAGUUUUUUUGUGUUGCAUCAAAUAUGUUGGUAUCUGUUUUUUGUCUUCUUAGAACUCUGACAUGUAUAUUCCUUUUAUAUUAGACAUCAAAGAAAUUUUUAUUUUUUAUCUGUUGUUAGUUGUAAUUUUUUACUAGGAUGUUUUUUGAUUGUGAUGUCAGAAGAGUGCUCUUAAGUGAUUUAAAGGUAGCACAGUUGUGGUGUUAGAACACUGUUUUAGUGAUCAUUCAAGUAUUUAGACAUUUUAAGCACUAUGUAGUCUUGUUUGGGUAACUACCUUUUUAUGUCGUGUAUUGUGUGUAUGCCCUAUGCUGUGUAUAUGUAAUGUGUACUUGUUGUGAGUAUCAAAACAAUAGGACUUUCAAAUUACAAGUCCUCUUCCCUUUCCUUUUAUUUGCAUCAGACUUUAGAUGUUUAGUUGUUUUGUAAUUAUAUGUGAAUUUUUUGCAUGUCUAGCGCAACUGAUGUGUGUUCUGUCUUGCAAUGUCUAUAAUUCCUUGUACAAGACCAUACUGGAAAGAUAUGAGAAUGUCUUCGUUGUUGCACUUGUGUAUUUAUGCUAGAUUUAUUUUCGACUACAUAGAUUAGCAAUAACUUUAUAUGUUAUAUUUAUGUCCCUGUUCAUGUCUAGUGAAUUCAUCAUGGAAAUUUGAUAUUGCUUAGAAAUUGUGAUUGUUCUAUUUUCUGAAUAUUUGUCAUGUACUUUAUAUGUUAUAUUUAUGCAACUUUUGAUCCGUUUUCAUCCUUUCUUUUUGACUUGUUAUCCAUUCCACGCUUAAUUGACAGAAACUGUCACAAUGUUGUAUAGUGAUGUCAUUUUAUUCCCCUUCGAUAGUAUAAUUUUGAAUUGCCUUGCCGUCCAUUCCAACCAAAGAAUUGUAUCUCAGCCAUCAGACAUACACUAGUUUAGGUCUAAGAAUAAUAUUGAGUAUUAGACCUAUAUCUGUUUAGUCCCACAUUGGUAUAGGUAUAAACCAUAUUGGCGGGGAAGGGUGUGGGCGAGGCAUCACACAUAUAUCCACAAGGCCUUGCAGUGGGAGCAUAGGGCGAGGGCGACGGACGGGCUAAGGGUAGAAUUACAACAAUUAGGGGUACUAUUUGGGUAAAACGAAAACAAGGGGUAUCUUCUGGAAAAAAAAGGGCAUCAACAAUAUGUUUACGAGCUCUUAUGCAAGAGCCAUGGGAUAAAAGCACCACCUUGUUGUUUCAGCCGUUUUGUGUUUCCUGAUAUUACUAAACUACUUAGUUGAUUUUUCUUCUUUCAUGUUGUUAGGGUUCUCUGGUAUCAUUGACUGAGAUGUGGUCUGUCAUGAACUUAAGCAUCCUUUAGUAGUUUUAUUAUUGUUAUACAAUUCUAUUUUUUUAUGAACCUAGAAGGUCGGGCAGAGAACUAUGCCAAUAAUGAUAGCUGCAAGAAAGAGUUUAGUGUUUGCUAAUAUUUAGAUCUGGGCUGUUGGUUAUCAUUGUGUUUGAAACACUAAUUAUAGAAGGAAAGCGGAAUUUGGGUUUCUUAGUUUCUUUAGUUGAUUCUUGGUCUGCUCAUGAUGAGUUGUAGUUUCUUCAGUUGAUUCUUAGUCUGCUCAGGAUGAGUUAUAGUUUCUUCUAUUGGUUCUUAUUCUGCACAAAAGUAGUAUAUGGUGUAUAGUAUGUCAUCUUAUUCUGCACAAGAGUAGUAUAUUAUUAGGAGUCCUGACAUUGAUUGUCAGUUUCAAUGAGUUCAGCUGGUUGGUUCAUCGAUUUCAUACAUGAAAUGGUUCUGGAUUUUGGAUCCGCAUUGUCAGUGUCAUGAGCAAGCUCUGGUUAUUCUAAUUGAUUAGGUUUUUAAUGUGCUGAUACUCUUCUCCAAGGGAACCAUACUCUUGGCUAGAAUAUGAGCUUUUGCAAUUGAAGAAUGUAAUUGUUGUGAUUGGUCAAAAAUGGUUUUAAUGUUCUGAUACUCUUCUGGAAGGGAACCAUACUCAGCUAGAAUAUGGGCAUUUGCAAUUGCAGAAUGUAAUUUGUUGUAAUUGGUCGAAUAGGCUUUCUUAUAAUAACAUGCAAUUAGUAGGAUCGGCUUCAUGUGGGAUGCUAAUUAACAGUGCUUUUGAAUUUGAAGAAUGCAAUGGUUGUGGCUGACUGAAGAGUUUUGUUAUGCUCAUGCAAGGUUUGUAAAAUUUGUUUGUGUUUAGGAGGAAAGCCAAUUAUAAUUCUUUUUGCAGCCUCAAAAAAAGUUUUUCAUGUUCGGGCUUUUGAAGUUGAUCUUGUGAUUGCUUGACAACCAUCAGUAUCUUGCGGUAUGGAUUAGAUGUUUGCAAGGUUCAGAUAGAUGGUGCAGGUUUUAUUAUGUAAAGAAAUAGAACACUUCGCCUACAAGCCUUGGUUUCAUUAUUAUUCUUUUUCCAUUUCCUUGCUUGGUUGGCAACAUAAGCAUUGGUAUUGGUAGCGGAUCAUGUAAAUGUGAAGCUUGUUAUAUUGGGUUGAAGCUGCUAAUAACUUGAUUGAUGGUUCUUUGUUUGGUUGAUUGGUUGACUGAUCAUCCCAAUGGCUCUGGAAUGGUUGAUUCAAUUUGUUGGGACUGACCGAUGGUUGUCUAAUCAUUGAGUUAUUAGUUGGGACUGACUGUUGAAUAAUGCUGCAGCAUGAUGCCGAUUAUAGUUUAUAGUUUUGACUGGCCAUCAUAUAAUGGCACUGGAACUGUUUGUUGGUGAAGUUGUGGAAUAGUGGUGCAGGUUUUAGGUUGUUGUAGGGUUCAGUUUGAUGGGGCUUUGCUAAUCAACCACCCCUACCAUGUGUAUUUGUUCUUAUUUCAAUGUUUUUUUAUGUUAAGUUUUGGUUUGACAUCGUUUUGCUAAUGGCAGAUGUUGAUUAUAGUUUGUCUCAGGUAAGGUUCAGUUUGAGGGUUUUGCUAAUCGACCACCCCUAGCAUUUUAUAUUUCGCUGUUCUUAUUUCAAUGGUUUUCUACAUUAGGUUUGGUUUGACAGAUUGGAAUGACUGAACAAAUGUCAUUGUAUGUACCUUUGCACUUAUAUGCCUUGUACUUUUGUCUGUAGCCUUUUUGUGGGCUUGAAACUUUUUUACAUUUAUUUUAUGGUUCAGCAGUGUUGGAUGGUUUUGUUUGUUGCCUAAUAAUGUGUGAUCAUAGUUUUUUUUUUCAUAUAAAUACAAAUUUAGUGGAAUUUGCUUGUUUCUUUCUUUUUGUUGAACAUUAAGUCUUUGAAUAUUUUUUUGUCAUUUUGUUGAUUUUGUCGUAUUUGGUGUAUUUUAAUAUAUUAUUUUUAUCUGGUUUCUGUAUGCUUUUGUUGUAGAUGCGGGAUGACCCAAACUACGUCUUUCCAAUGUCUUCAAUUUGGAGUUAUGAUAGUAUAAUGUUGGUUGGUUGGUUGCUUAACGUUGAUUGUUUGUAAUUUCUUUUGUAGGACUUUAAUGUUAUGUUUAGCACUGUUACAAAUGCUUCAAUUUGGCGUUGAUACUUUUGUCUAGUUGUGUAAUAAUUUGAAAAUUUUUGUGUCUUCACAUUGCUUGUCUAAAUGGAUAAGAGGGGGUGGGCAUUGCUGCAGAUAAUGCAUGCGAGUGGACAAUCGUAAUGUGCUGCUUGUGAACGUGGAUGCUUGGCCGUGGGUUUCUGUUGUGCCUGGAUGAGAAAACAUGGAGGGUGCAAUAGCUGAUCGGUACCUCUCUGUUGUAAACAAUCCAAAUGUUCUGCGAGUAUCACUACAUGAGUGCAUUGUUUAACCUGCCCAUAGGAGCAACUUGUAUGA